UACGUAGGGGGCAAGCGUUGUUCGGAAUCACUGGGCGUAAAGGGCGUGUAGGCGGUCAGGUAAGUGAGAUGUGAAACGCCCCGGCUCACCCGGGGACCUGCAUCUCAAACUGCCUGGCUUGAGUAUGGGAGAGGAUGAGGGAAUUCCUGGUGUAGCGGUGAAAUGCGUAGAUAUCAGGAGGAACACCGGUGGCGAAAGCGCUCAUCUGGCCCAAUACUGACGCUGAGGCGCGAAAGCUAGGGGAGCAAACGGG
rnacentral:rRNA from 1 species